rnacentral:rRNA from 1 species
CCUACGGGAGGCAGCAGUGAGGAAUAUUGGUCAAUGGGCGCGAGCCUGAACCAGCCAAGUAGCGUGAAGGAUGACUGCCCUACGGGUUGUAAACUUCUUUUAUCAAGGAAUAAAGUGAGGCACGUGUGCCUUUUUGUGUGUAUUUUAUGAAUAAGCAUCGGCUAACUCCGUGCCAGCAGCCGCGGUAAUACAGAGGAUCCGAGCGUUCUCCGGAUUUAUUGGGUUGAAAGGGAGCGUAGAUGGGUUGUUAAGUCAGUGGGUAAAGUUUUGGGCUCAACCGUAAAAUGGCAAUUGAAACUGGCAGCCUUGAGUACAGUUGAGGUAGGCGGAAUGCGUGGUGUAGCGGUGAAAUGCUUAGAUAUCACGAAGAACUCCGAUUGCGAAGGCAGCCUGCUA